CGAUCACAAAGAUAUAAAAUAAUGUAAUUUACGCGUCGUUGUAAUAUCAAUUUAAGUAAUUAUACAUCUGAUUUACUUUCUAAUGUCUUUUUUCAGCAACGCGAGAUUCUCCGAACAGUGUAAACUAUAUAUUAUAAAUUUUUUAACAAUUUUGACAUUGUUAAAUGAAAACGAAUUAUCAAACUUGAUACACACUUUCGACCGAUUACGUUAAUGUUAACGAUUGUUUAUUCGUCGUCAUUGUAAACAAAUAUAGUGUUCAAAUACAUGGAAAUACAUAUUUUCUCCUGUCAUUAAAAAAAAAGAGGGAGAGAGAUUACUCCACUUCUCCUGUGAGCUUUUCAAGUUUAAAUCCUCGCUCGCGGCGUGUCCUGCCUUGAAAGAUGUGUUUGACUCUUUUGGAUCCAACGAAGGGGCAGUGACAACAGCUUAUUUUACACAUUCCGGCACGAUUUUGAAAUUAACAGCUUUACUUGGACUAGCCAAACAUGUACAUCCUUUGACGCACAAUUCCUUUGCAUUACGUAAGAACGAAGACAAAAGGGCGUGGAGAAGCAGUAUUAUCGAUACGUUUGCAUCUAACAUGGCAUUUGUUUUGUACGAUUGCGAAUAUUACGGGCCCAGUGUUUUAUUCAUGCUUCAGGAACGACCGGUACAAUUUACCAGGCUGUCCGAAAGACAGGCCAUGUCCAUUGUACACCAUGAAGGCAAUGUAUCCAGAUAGCGACGAAGAAUGUCAGUUUGACGCCAUGUGCCAUACAACAAAAUAAGACAAUGCUAAAGAUAUUUUUGCAAUAAUGCCACACACAUAUCCAUCCUUUUAUUUACAUAUCUAGAUACAAAUAUAUUAAUUCAGUUGUUAAAAGAAGAUAUUUUUCUAAGAGAAAUUUUGCUGAGGUAUACCUGAUUCAUUUUUUGAUGAAUUCAGAAUCUAUGUUUUUAAAAAUGUACAGUAAAAGAGAUCGGAAUUUAUUUUGAACGUCUUACUAUGUACAUAAAUAGUUACUAAUAAAUAAUUCCAUCAUCAUUA